CAUACUUACAUGCCUGGCUCCCUGUAUGCCAUUUGCAAAGUCCACCCGAGGAUUGGUAGCCUUCGCGGAUGGCGUGCGAGGAGCCAUGCAUGCAUCUUGCUU
rnacentral:pre_miRNA from 1 species